rnacentral:rRNA from 1 species
AGAGUUUGAUCCUGGCUCAGGACGAACGCUGGCGGCACGCUUAACACAUGCAAGUCGAACGAGAGAAGAGGAGCUUGCUUUUCUGAUCUAGUGGCGGACGGGUGAGUAACACGUGAGCAAUCUGCCUUUCAGAGGGGGAUACCGAUUGGAAACGAUCGUUAAUACCGCAUAACAUAAUUGAACCGCAUGAUUUGAUUAUCAAAGAUUUAUCGCUGAAAGAUGAGCUCGCGUCUGAUUAGCUAGUUGGUAAGGUAACGGCUUACCAAGGCGACGAUCAGUAGCCGGACUGAGAGGUUGAUCGGCCACAUUGGGACUGAGACACGGCCCAGACUCCUACGGGAGGCAGCAGUGGGGAAUAUUGCACAAUGGAGGAAACUCUGAUGCAGCGAUGCCGCGUGAGGGAAGAAGGUUUUAGGAUUGUAAACCUCUGUCUUCAGGGACGAAAAAAGACGGUACCUGAGGAGGAAGCUCCGGCUAACUACGUGCCAGCAGCCGCGGUAAUACGUAGGGAGCGAGCGUUGUCCGGAAUUACUGGGUGUAAAGGGAGCGUAGGCGGGAUCGCAAGUCAGAUGUGAAAACUAUGGGCUUAACCCAUAAACUGCAUUUGAAACUGUGGUUCUUGAGUGAAGUAGAGGUAAGCGGAAUUCCUAGUGUAGCGGUGAAAUGCGUAGAUAUUAGGAGGAACAUCAGUGGCGAAGGCGGCUUACUGGGCUUUAACUGACGCUGAGGCUCGAAAGCGUGGGGAGCAAACAGGAUUAGAUACCCUGGUAGUCCACGCCGUAAACGAUGAUUACUAGGUGUGGGGGGACUGACCCCUUCCGUGCCGCAGCAAACGCAAUAAGUAAUCCACCUGGGGAGUACGACCGCAAGGUUGAAACUCAAAGGAAUUGACGGGGGCCCGCACAAGCAGUGGAGUAUGUGGAUUAAUUCGAAGCAACGCGAAGAACCUUACCAGGUCUUGACAUCGUAUGCAUAGCUCAGAGAUGAGUGAAAUCUCUUCGGAGACAUAUAGACAGGUGGUGCAUGGUUGUCGUCAGCUCGUGUCGUGAGAUGUUGGGUUAAGUCCCGCAACGAGCGCAACCCUUACUGUUAGUUGCUACGCAAGAGCACUCUAGCAGGACUGCCGUUGACAAAACGGAGGAAGGUGGGGAUGACGUCAAAUCAUCAUGCCCCUUAUGACUGGGCCUCACACGUACUACAAUGGCUGUCAACAGAGGGAAGCAAAGCCGCGAGGUGGAGCGAACCCCUAAAAGCAGUCUUAGUUCGGAUUGUAGGCUGCAACCCGCCUACAUGAAGUCGGAAUUGCUAGUAAUCGCAGAUCAGCAUGCUGCGGUGAAUACGUUCCCGGGCCUUGUACACACCGCCCGUCACGCCAUGGGAGUCGGUAACACCCGAAGCCUGUAGUCUAACCGCAAGGAGGACGCAGUCGAAGGUGGGAUUGAUGACUGGGGUGAAGUCGUAACAAGGUA